AAAGAUGGUUGACCAUAGGACAUGCGCUGUCUCUGUGUCGUAUGUAAUAUGGUCCACGUCUUCU
rfam:Sus scrofa breed Duroc isolate TJ Tabasco Contig1914_1, whole genome shotgun sequence.